GGAUUAGAUACCCUGGUAGUCCACGCCGUAAACGAUGUCUACUAGUUGUCGGGACUCUUGCAGUCUUGGUAACGCAGCUAACGCGAUAAGUAGACCGCCUGGGGAGUACGGCCGCAAGGUUAAAACUCAAAUGAAUUGACGGGGGCCCGCACAAGCGGUGGAGCAUGUGGUUUAAUUCGAAGCAACGCGAAGAACCUUACCUGGCCUUGACAUCCUGCGAAUCCUCUAGAGAUAGGGGAGUGCCUUCGGGAACGCAGAGACAGGUGCUGCAUGGCUGUCGUCAGCUCGUGCCG
rnacentral:rRNA from 1 species